rnacentral:ncRNA from 1 species
AAAAAAUUUAAUUUAUAUUUAAAUAUUUAUUUUAUAAUUAAUAAUAUUAAUAAAGUUUAUUAAAAAUAAUUUAUUUUAAUUUAAAUAAUUAAUAAAUAAUUUAAAUAAUAUUUAUAAUAAUUAAAAUUAAUAAGAUAAUAUAUAGUAAUUUAUAGAAAUAAUAAUAAAAUUAGUGCCAGCAAUUGCGGUUAUACUAAUAUUGUAAAUAAAUUUUAAUAUAAUUAAUAAUUAAAUAAUAAAUUUAAGAAAAAUUUUAAUAUAAUAUAAAUUUUAUAUGGUGAAAUAUUUAAAAUAAUGAUAUAAUUAAAAUUAUAUAAUAAUAAAUUUGUAAAAUUGAGAAGAAACUAGGAUUAGAUACCCUAUUAUUAAUAGAUAAAAAAAUGAUUAAUGAGAAAUUAAAUGUAAAUCAUUAAAUUUAAAAAAUUUGGCGGUAUUUUAAAUAGUUAGAGGAAUUUGUUAAUUAAAUGAUAGUCCACGAUUGGAGUGUCCUAAUAAAAUUUUAUGUAUUGUUGUAUAAAAAUUAUUUUACGAAAAUUUAAUAAUUAAAAUAUUUAAUUUGAUUUGAAUUCAAAUCAAAAUGUAGAGUUAUUAGGUAUGAAAGAUGAGUUACAGUUUAAUUUAAUAUUGAAAUUAUUUUUUUAAUAAAAUAAUGAAAGAGGAUUUAAAAGUAAAUUUGAAUAAAUUUUUAGAUUGAAAUAAUAAUUAAAAUAUGUACAAAUUGCCCGUCAUUUUCAUGAAUAAAUAGUUGAAAGAAGUCGUAACAAAGUAAAUGUACAGGAAUGUGUAUUUGGUUGGGA